rnacentral:rRNA from 1 species
CCCUUAGAUGUCCGGGGCUGCACGCGCGCUACGCUGAAGGAAUCAGCGUGCUAAAACCAUUGUCGAAAGGCAUUGGUAAACCCAUUAAAAUCCUACGUGAUUGGGAUCGGGAAUUGCAAUUAUUUCCCUUGAACGAGGAAUUCCCAGUAAGUGUGGGUCAUAAGCUCGCGUUGAUUACGUCCCUGCCCUUUGUACACACCGCCCGUCGCUGCCCGGGACUGAGCCGUUUCGAGAAAAGCGGGGACUGCUGCUGUCGGGGCUUUCGGGCCUUGGCUUCGGUGGAAACCGCUUUAAUCGCAGUGGCUUGAACCGGGCAAAAGUCGUAACA